rnacentral:rRNA from 1 species
GAUGAACGCUGGCGGCGUGCCUAAUACAUGCAAGUCGAGCGAACAGAUAAGGAGCUUGCUCCUUUGACGUUAGCGGCGGACGGGUGAGUAACACGUGGGUAACCUACCUAUAAGGCUGGAAUAACUCCGGGAAACCGGGGCUAAUGCAGGAUAACAUGUUGAACCGCAUGGUUCUACAGUGAAAGGCGGCUUUGCUGUCACUUAUAGAUGGACCCGCGCCGUAUUAGCUAGUUGGUGAGGUAACGGCUCACCAAGGCAACGAUACGUAGCCGACCUGAGAGGGUGAUCGGCCACACUGGAACUGAGACACGGUCCAGACUCCUACGGGAGGCAGCAGUAGGGAAUCUUCCGCAAUGGGCGAAAGCCUGACGGAGCAACGCCGCGUGAGUGAUGAAGGUCUUCGGAUCGUAAAACUCUGUUAUUAGGGAAGAACAAAUGCGUAAGUAACUGUGCGCGUCUUGACGGUACCUAAUCAGAAAGCCACGGCUAACUACGUG